rnacentral:rRNA from 1 species
UACGUAGGGACCGAGCGUUGUCCGGAUUCAUUGGGCGUAAAGAGCUCGUAGGCGGCUAUUCAAGUCGAACGUGAAAUCUCGGAGCUCAACUCCGAAACUGCGUUCGAUACUGGGUAGCUAGAGUCUGGUAGGGGGAUCUGGAAUUCCUGGUGUAGCGGUGGAAUGCGCAGAUAUCAGGAAGAACACCCGUGGCGAAGGCGGCUCUCUGGGACGGUACUGACGCUGAGACGCGAAAGCGUGGGGAGCGAACAGG